AGAGAGGUGGCUGAGAGGCUUAAGGCAUGGCUCUAAUUGAGACAGAUGACUUGAUCAUCCGUUGGUUCAAAUCCAACCCUCUCUG
rnacentral:tRNA from 1 species